CAAGACCUCUCACUAUUGGAGCGCCCGAUGUCUGAUUAGCUUGUUGGCGGGMUAAAAGCCCACCAAGGCGACGAUCAGUAGCUGGUUUGAGAGAACGACCAGCCACACUGGGACUGAGACACGGCCCAGACUCCUACGGGAGGCAGCAGUGGGGAAUUUUGGACAAUGGGGGCAACCCUGAUCCAGCCAUGCCGCGUGUGGGAAGAAGGCCUUCGGGUUGUAAACCACUUUUGUCAGGGAAGAAAUUGGCCAGGUUAAUACCUUGGCUAGAUGACGGUACCUGGAGAAUAAGCACCGGCUAACUACGUGCCGGCAGCCGCGGUAAUACGUAGGGUGCAAGCGUUAAUCGGAAUUACUGGGCGUAAAGCGUGCGCAGGCGSUUCGCAAGUCAGAUGUGAAAGCCCCGGGCUCAACCUGGGAAUU
rnacentral:rRNA from 1 species